GACGAACGCUGGCGGCGUGCUUAACACAUGCAAGUCGAACGGAAAGGCCCUGCUUUUGUGGGGUGCUCGAGUGGCGAACGGGUGAGUAGCACGUGAGUAACCUGCCCUUGACUUUGGGAUAACUUCAGGAAACUGGGGCUAAUACCGGAUAGGAGCUCCUGCUGCAUGGUGGGGGUUGGAAAGUUUCGGCGGUUGGGGAUGGACUCGAGGCUUAUCAGCUUGUUGGUGGGGUAGUGGCUUACCAAGGCUUUGACGGGUAGCCGGCCUGAGAAGGUGACCGGCCACAUAGGGACUGAGGUACGGACCAGAGUCCAACGGGAGGCAGCAGUGGGGAAUAUUGCACAAUGGGCGGAAGCCUGAUGCAGCAACGCCGCGUGCGGGAUGACGGCCUUCGGGUUGUAAACCACUUUCGCCUGUGACGAAGCGUGAGUGACGGUAAUGGGUAAAGAAGCACCGGCUAACUACGUG
rnacentral:rRNA from 1 species